GAUGAACGCUAGCUACAGGCUUAACACAUGCAAGUCGAGGGGCAGCAUGGUCUUAGCUUGCUAAGGCCGAUGGCGACCGGCGCACGGGUGAGUAACACGUAUCCAACCUGCCGUCUACUCUUGGACAGCCUUCUGAAAGGAAGAUUAAUACAAGAUGGCAUCAUGAGUCCGCAUGUUCACAUGAUUAAAGGUAUUCCGGUAGACGAUGGGGAUGCGUUCCAUUAGAUAGUAGGCGGGGUAACGGCCCACCUAGUCUUCGAUGGAUAGGGGUUCUGAGAGGAAGGUCCCCCACAUUGGAACUGAGACACGGUCCAAACUCCUACGGGAGGCAGCAGUGAGGAAUAUUGGUCAAUGGGCGCAGGCCUGAACCAGCCAAGUAGCGUGAAGGAUGACUGCCCUAUGGGUUGUAAACUUCUUUUAUAAAGGAAUAAAGUCGGGUAUGGAUACCCGUUUGCAUGUACUUUAUGAAUAAGGAUCGGCUAACUCCGUGCCAGCAGCCGCGGUAAUACGGAGGAUCCGAGCGUUAUCCGGAUUUAUUGGGUUUAAAGGGAGCGUAGAUGGAUGUUUAAGUCAGUUGUGAAAGUUUGCGGCUCAACCGUAAAAUUGCAGUUGAUACUGGAUAUCUUGAGUGCAGUUGAGGCAGGCGGAAUUCGUGGUGUAGCGGUGAAAUGCUUAGAUAUCACGAAGAACUCCGAUUGCGAAGGCAGCCUGCUAAGCUGCAACUGACAUUGAGGCUCGAAAGUGUGGGUAUCAAACAGGAUUAGAUACCCUGGUAGUCCACACGGUAAACGAUGAAUACUCGCUGUUUGCGAUAUACGGCAAGCGGCCAAGCGAAAGCGUUAAGUAUUCCACCUGGGGAGUACGCCGGCAACGGUGAAACUCAAAGGAAUUGACGGGGGCCCGCACAAGCGGAGGAACAUGUGGUUUAAUUCGAUGAUACGCGAGGAACCUUACCCGGGCUUAAAUUGCAGAUGAAUUACGGUGAAAGCCGUAAGCCGCAAGGCAUCUGUGAAGGUGCUGCAUGGUUGUCGUCAGCUCGUGCCGUGAGGUGUCGGCUUAAGUGCCAUAACGAGCGCAACCCUUGUUGUCAGUUACUAACAGGUUCCGCUGAGGACUCUGACAAGACUGCCAUCGUAAGAUGUGAGGAAGGUGGGGAUGACGUCAAAUCAGCACGGCCCUUACGUCCGGGGCUACACACGUGUUACAAUGGGGGGUACAGAGGGCCGCUACCACGCGAGUGGAUGCCAAUCCCAAAAACCUCUCUCAGUUCGGACUGGAGUCUGCAACCCGACUCCACGAAGCUGGAUUCGCUAGUAAUCGCGCAUCAGCCACGGCGCGGUGAAUACGUUCCCGGGCCUUGUACACACCGCCCGUCAAGCCAUGGGAGCCGGGGGUACCUGAAGUGCGUAACCGCGAGGAGCGCCCUAGGGUAAAACUGGUGACUGGGGCUAAGUCGUA
rnacentral:rRNA from 1 species